CACGUAGGGCGCAAGCGUUGUCCGGAAUUAUUGGGCGUAAAGAGCUCGUAGGCGGUCUGUUGCGUCCGCUGUGAAAACUCGGGGCUUAACCCCGAGCCUGCAGUGGAUACGGGCAGACUAGAGGUAGGUAGGGGAGAAUGGAAUUCCCGGUGUAGCGGUGAAAUGCGCAGAUAUCAGGAGGAACACCGGUGGCGAAGGCGGGUCUCUGGGCCGUAACUGACACUGAAUCGCGAAAGCUAGGGGAGCAAACGGG
rnacentral:rRNA from 1 species